rnacentral:rRNA from 1 species
AUGCCGGUCAGCAGGAUCGCCGUGGGGAGCCACCGUGAGGUGUACGAGGUCGGCGCCCUCAAGGCGGCGCUCGCCGAGUUCAUCUCCACGCUCAUCUUCGUCUUCGCCGGCCAGGGCUCCGGCAUGGCCUUCAGCAAGCUGAGCCCCGACGGCGCGGCGACCCCCGCCGGCCUGAUCUCGGCGGCGAUAGCGCACGCCUUCGCCCUGUUCGUGGCGGUGUCCGUGGGCGCCAACAUCUCCGGCGGGCACGUGAACCCGGCCGUGACCUUCGGCGCCUUCGUGGGCGGCAACAUCACCCUCUUCCGCGGCCUGCUCUACUGGAUCGCCCAGCUCCUGGGCUCCACCGCCGCCUGCUUCCUCCUCCGCUUCUCCACCGGCGGGCUCCCCACCGGCACCUUCGGGCUGACCGGCAUCGGCGCGUGGGAGGCGGUGGUGCUGGAGAUCGUCAUGACCUUCGGGCUGGUGUACACGGUGUACGCCACCGCCGUGGACCCCAAGAAGGGCAGCCUGGGCACCAUCGCGCCCAUCGCCAUCGGCUUCAUCGUGGGCGCCAACAUCCUGGUCGGCGGCGCCUUCUCCGGCGCGUCCAUGAACCCCGCCGUCUCCUUCGGCCCCGCCCUCGUCAGCUGGGAGUGGGGGUACCAGUGGGUGUACUGGGUCGGCCCCCUCAUCGGCGGCGGCCUCGCCGGCGUCAUCUACGAGCUGCUCUUCAUCUCCCGCACCCACGAGCAGCUCCCCACCACCGACUACUAA